rnacentral:rRNA from 1 species
GAUGAAUGCUGGCGGCGUGCCUAACACAUGCAAGUCGAGCGGCAGCGCGGUCUUCGGACUGGCGGCGAGCGGCGGACGGCUGAGUAACGCGUGGGAACGUACCCCAAAGUGAGGAAUAACUGCCCGAAAGGGUAGCUAAUGCCGCAUAUGGUCUUCGGAUUAAAGGAUUUAUCCGCUUUGGGAACGGCCUGCGUACGAUUAGAUUGUUGGUGAGGUAAUGGCUCACCAAGUCGACGAUCGUUAACUGGUCUGAGAGGAUGAUCAGUCAGACUGGAACUGAGACACGGUCCAGACUCCUACGGGAGGCAGCAGUGAGGAAUCUUCCACAAUGGGCGAAAGCCUGAUGGAGCAACGCCGCGUGCAGGAUGAAGGCCUUCGGGUCGUAAACUGCUUUUAUAAGUGAAGAAUAUGACGGUAACUUAUGAAUAAGCACCGGCUAACUACGUGCCAGCAGCCGCGGUA